CGCGGGGUGGAGCAGAGGUAGCUCGUCAGGCUCAUAACCUGAAGGUCGACAGUUCGAUUCUGUCCCCCGCAACCA
rnacentral:tRNA from 1 species